GUCGAGGGGUAACAGAAAAGCUUGCUUUUGCUGACGACCGGCGCACGGGUGCGUAACGCGUAUGCAACCUACCUCAUACUGGAGGAUAGCCCCUGGAAACGGGGAUUAAUACUCCAUAGUAUCACAAUUUCGCAUGUUAUUGUGAUUAAAGUUUUUCGGUAUGAGAUGGGCAUGCGUCCCAUUAGCUUGUUGGUGAGGUAACGGCUCACCAAGGCAACGAUGGGUAGGGGGCCUGAGAGGGUGGUCCCCCACACUGGUACUGAGACACGGACCAGACUCCUACGGGAGGCAGCAGUGAGGAAUAUUGGUCAAUGGAGGAAACUCUGAACCAGCCAUGCCGCGUGAAGGAUGACGGCCCUAUGGGUUGUAAACUUCUUUUAUAGAGGAAGAAACUUGUCUACGUGUAGACAACUGACGGUACUCUACGAAUAAGGAUCGGCUAACUCCGUGCCAGCAGCCGCGGUAAUACGGAGGAUCCAAGCGUUAUCCGGAUUCAUUGGGUUUAAAGGGUCCGUAGGCGGAUUUUUAAGUCAGUGGUGAAAGCCGACAGCUCAACUGUCGAACUGCCAUUGAUACUGGAAAUCUUGAGUACAAAUGAAGUAGGCGGAAUGAGUCAUGUAGCGGUGAAAUGCAUAGAUAUGACUCAGAACACCGAUUGCGAAGGCAGCUUACUAACAUGUAACUGACGCUGAGGGACGAAAGCGUGGGGAGCGAACAGGAUUAGAUACCCUGGUAGUCCACGCCGUAAACGAUCAUCACUCGCUGUUGGCGAUAUACUGUCAGCGGCAAGCGAAAGUAUUAAGUGAUGCACCUGGGGAGUACGC
rnacentral:rRNA from 1 species